rnacentral:lncRNA from 1 species
GGCUUUCCCCAUUCCUUAUCGGAAAGAAUAUUCACAAACCACUUGAUUAUUUUUAUUUUUUUUUUUUCUUCCACUGUUAGGCUGCAGACAAUACUCCUAUGUGUAUGUGCUUUCUUUAUUCUGGAAAUAUUCACCACACUGAAAAUGAAUCCCCACUAAUAAGAGGACUGAAUUGUAGCUUCUCCAGAAGCUGUAAGGAAGAAGCAGCACAGAGCUGCCCUGCUUCAGCAACAGAUCAGAGCCAUCUGCCCAGCUCUGGUGCCCAAAGGCAUGGGGAUGCUUACGAGAAAAACCCUGAUGUAGACACGGAACACAUUUAAAGCCUUGAAGUGAUCUUGACCCUGCCCUCAUCAUCAGGCAUCUCAUUAAUGGCCAUGAGAUUCUUUUCACAGUCAUGAAGAACCACUGGGGGGUUUCUCAUCUUGAAUUCCUUAAAUCAAUGUUUAGCCUAUGUGAAUGUGGUGGUGAACAGCAGGUUCAAGUUGGAAGCAAGAUAACAUCAUAAUACCAGAAUUUAAAUUGCGGUAGGAGCUCUUUAAAAACAAAAGUAACUUUGGCAUCUUCAAUUUACAGUUCAGUAGGCUAUAAUCCUUCAUUUUAUCUGUGAAUUGCACAUUCUCUAGGGCCUGGAUUACUUCUGUGGGGCCUUGUACUGUCCUUUUCUCAGUUGAGCCAUAGGCACUGUAAUAAGACACUUUGUAAGUAACAACAGGCAAUUCUGAUAAACAAUUUUAGUUGUUUCUCAUCUAGAUCUGUCAAUUGCAUCUCCUGCAAAGGAAAGGAAAGUGAAGAAUCUAGCUAUGAAAUUUUCUUUUCUUAAUGAGGCAUUUAAAUAGCAUCUCACACUUGUUCUCCAGUUGUUUACAUAGGAUGUCAUUUGUGAUGCAUUGUUAAAGCCCUGUAAAUCUCAGUUGGGAGCAAUAUCCCAGAGAGCAGAGAAGACCAGUUCUGCUUCAAGCUACAUCUCUAUAGAUACAUUGCCUUUUCUUUCGUUAUAUUAUUCAUCUGAAAUGAUAUCUGUAAUCCAGCUAAUGAAAUGCAGUAGCAUAGCAUCAGAUGAAGCAUCUGCUAAAAAGAGGAAAAAAAAAUGUGAGUUUCCAUUAAAGUUUUUUGAGAUGAUG